GGGAGGGUUAGCUCAGUCAGUAGAGCAUGAGACUCUUAAUCUCCAGGCCAUGGGUUCGAGUCUCAUGCUAGCAAAAGGUUCCU